rnacentral:lncRNA from 12 species
UCACAAUCUGCUGAGGAGUAGUCACUUCCUCAAGGAAAAAUGUCUGUGAAAUAGUGCUCAAUUUCAUAGUGUUUCAGCCUACAACACCACUGUAAAAGCUUUAAUGUGGGGGACAAUGAGCUCAUCUAAAGACCGCACACAUUUUUCUUGCUUGCCUUUAUAGAAAUGAGAGGCGGCUUCGCCAUGCACAGUUUCUUCAAAGCAGCCUUGGAGGCAUCUUUCACAGGUAUGUAAGUUCAUUGCUG